GACGAUAUAGCUCAAUUGGUAGAGCGUCUGAGUGUGGAUCAGACGGCUCCCUGUUCGAACCAGGGUAUCAUCC